CAAAACAAAGAAACCUUGUAAACCCUAGCCUCUGCUAGGGCUUCAACUCAGCCGCCACCGUCGCCGUCCUCGGCCAAUCGGCCUCCGUCGACGCCCCGAUCUCAGAUCGAGACAGAGAGGGGCACCAACUCGGUGAUUCCGACGAAAAGGGUAGGUUUUCUCUUCCUUUCUUUAUAUUUUAAGCAAAAAUAAAUAAAUAAUGGCGAAACUAAAAAAAAACCAAAUAUAUAUAUGUACAAAUGAAAAAAAAUGAAAGAACGAUAAUCGAAAAAAUGGUAAAACAGAAAAGAAAACCUUUUUAUUUCAAAAAAGAAAAUUUCCUCUUUGCCUCUGUAUUUCUCGUAUUUUACACAGAAAUCCCCCCCAAAUACAGAUUAAAAUCGGCUUUUAAAUAGCCGAGAAAAGGAAAAGAAAAAAAAUCAAAAGAAAUCCCCUCUGUUUUUGUUAGCAAGAUUUUUGCCGUUCUGUUUGUGUUUGUUGCUGUGGGUUCAACGUGCAAGGAAGGCGCGAGAUUCGUGGCGGCGAGGGGCACGAUGUGCGAUAUCGACGGGCAUGACGCGCGGAAGCAGUUGCUGCGCUAGUUACUGCGGCGCUGAGGCAGAAGCUAGGGUUUCUGCUAUUCUAUUUUUUUUGUGGGCUAGGGUUAGUUUGGGUGUUUAAGGUUAUUGGACUAGGUUUAGCUUAUUUUUUGUUUUGUAAGGGCCCGGGUAAAUUGGGCUUAUUACAAGGGGCAACAGAGGGGAUUUGGGAUUUAUUUUAUUUUUUCUUUUCUUUUCAUUUUUCUGUAAUUUUGGCUAUAAAGAAGCCAAUACAAACACUGUAAAGGAUACGCAGAUUGAAAUACAAAAGACAGAGAAAUCAAAGAGGGAUUUUUUCUAAGGUGGUUCUUUUCCGUUUUUCUUUCUGUAUUCUCUUCUUACUUUUUUCUUUUUUGGGUCACAUACAUAUAGAGAUAAUAAAAAGAGGCUUAAGGAGGAGAGUUUACCUUCAUAGUGCGACGGUCGGAUCCCUAUCUCUCUCGUCGCAAUCGGAGCAGAUGGGGAUCUGAAGGGUGGAGCUGCGACAGAAACUGAAAAACCAAGCGGCGCUCUGCCUUCCUCCUACCAUUUCAAAUGAAAACCUUUAGAUUUAGGGUUUCUUUUUUAAGUUUUUAAACGUUUUCAAAAACGGCAGCGUUUGGUGCCUAGACCCGAUGACCCGACCCGAUUCAAGAAGGAGGAUCCGCGUGCUUUAUACUGAUGGUUUAUUUGCGCAAUGAGUCCUCCUGUUCUCUCAAUUUGUUUUGAUCUAAUCCCUUUCAGUUCUUUUAAUUUUGGCCAUAUAGGUUUAUUUUGUUUUCA
rnacentral:lncRNA from 1 species